rnacentral:rRNA from 1 species
GACGAACGCUGGCGGCGUGCUUAACACAUGCAAGUCGAACGGAAAGGCCUCUUUCGGGGGGUACUCGAGUGGCGAACGGGUGAGUAACACGUGAGUAACCUGCCCUUGACUUUGGGAUAACUUCAGGAAACUGGGGCUAAUACCGGAUAGGAGCUCCUGCUGCAUGGUGGGGGUUGGAAAGUUUCGGCGGUUGGGGAUGGACUCGCGGCUUAUCAGCUUGUUGGUGGGGUAGUGGCUUACCAAGGCUUUGACGGGUAGCCGGCCUGAGAGGGUGACCGGCCACAUUGGGACUGAGAUACGGCCCAGACUCCUACGGGAGGCAGCAGUGGGGAAUAUUGCACAAUGGGUGGAAGCCUGAUGCAGCAACGCCGUGUGCGGGAUGACGGCCUUCGGGUUGUAAACCGCUUUCGCUCAUGACGAAGCUUUGUGUGACGGUAGUUGGUAAAGAAGCACCGGCUAACUACGUG